UCAGAGUGAACAGGCAACCUACAAAAUGG
rnacentral:piRNA from 1 species